AUUGAACGCUGGCGGAAUGCUUUACACAUGCAAGUCGAACGGCAGCACGGACUUCGGUCUGGUGGCGAGUGGCGAACGGGUGAGUAAUGUAUCGGAACGUGCCCAGUCGUGGGGGAUAACGUAGUGAAAAUUACGCUAAUACCGCAUACGAUCUAUGGAUGAAAGCGGGGGAUCGCAAGACCUCGCGCGAUUGGAGCGGCCGAUUUCAGAUUAGGUAGUUGGUGGGGUAAAGGCCCACCAAGCCAACUAUCUGUAGCUGGUCUGAGAGGACGACCAGCCAAACGGGAACUGAGAGUCGGUCCAGACUCCUACGGGAGGCAGCAGUGGGGAAUUUGGGACAAUGGGCGAAAGACUGAUCCAGCCAUUCCGCGUGCAGGAUGAAGGCCCUCGGGUUGUAAACUGCUUUUGUACAGAACGAAAAGGUUUCUACUAAUACUAGGAGCUCAUGACGGUACUGUAAGAAUAAGCACCGGCUAACUACGUGCCAGCCGCCGCAGUAA
rnacentral:rRNA from 1 species